rnacentral:rRNA from 1 species
GAUGAACGCUGGCGGCGUGCUUAACACAUGCAAGUCGAGCGGGCAAUUUAUCUAGCACUGAUUACUUCAAAUGGAAAUCAUAAGUGUAAUCAUGAAUUUCUACCUUUAAUAAAGAAAAAGAAAUUCAUGUACGCAAAUAGUGAUAACACAUUUUAGUGAAGUGAUGAGUGCUGGAUAAAUUGCUAGCGGCGGACGGGUGCGUAACACGUGGGUAACCUGCCCCUAUCACUGGGAUAACACACUGAAAAGUGUGCUAAUACCAGAUAAUAUAAGCUUUUGGUCAUCAUUAGCUUAUCAAAGAAUUUCGGAUAGGGAUGGGCCCGCGUCUGAUUAGCUAGUUGGUGAGGUAACGGCUCACCAAGGCAACGAUCAGUAGCCGACCUGAGAGGGUGAUCGGCCACACUGGAACUGAGACACGGUCCAGACUCCUACGGGAGGCAGCAGUGGGGAAUAUUGCACAAU